GGCUGGACUGUUUCACUGCGUGUUUUGUUUUUGAUCAACAUUGGGGGGAGUUCCUUGUUCAUCCAGACUGGUCUUCUGCCCUUCUUGCUUGACUUGUGACACAAGAGACUUGCCUGUUCCUGCACUUCUUAUAAGAUGGCAGCAGAGGGGCGAUCUGACACAGUGGUGUCUGACGUGGAAGUGCAUGUGGAGCAAAGGUGUGGAACUGUAUUCCUUCAUGUGAAAAUAAUGGUGCCCAUUGACAUUCAUCAACGCUUGCUGAACAUACAAGGAGACUGCACAGUGGAUAUGAGCCCGGUGAGGUGGUGGGUGCUGCAUUUCAGCAAUGGUGACAGUGGGUCACCUCUGCUGGUGAAGAACUUGGACAAGUGCGGCAUGAAGGGUCUUGUUCAUCGCUGGUGAAAAUGCACAGCUAAUGGUGAUGACUAUGAUGAAAAACACUGUUCUGUAGCUGGUAAUAUUCUCUAUCAAAUAUUGUUAUUGUGCUUUUUGCAUCUUUUGUGGCUCCCAUGGAAUUAAAUAGCAAGCAUUGUUUCUGAAGUUACCGACGUGUAUAUACUGUAAUGCUGAUGGGAAUAUUCCUUACAUUAGCCUUGAUUUUGCCUCUGUAGCAUCCCAGCAGACAGACAGUUAAAUCGCAGACUACCAGAGUACACUGACCUUUACCACAUCAUCUGUGCUUAAAUGAGCUUUGG
ensembl:lncRNA